GGGGGUGUGGUAUGUCACAGCUCCCCUAUCAGCUGGCACACGGCGGUGGGAGAUAUGAGACAGCAGAAAAAGUCGUAGUAACAACAUCACCCAGACUGCCGAAGACGGAACGAAUGCGCUGAGUAACUUCAGUGUGCGUGCACUUACUUUCCGAAAACAGGUGGAGGGUUUUCAGCCCUGGCUUCUGCUCGCACAUCCCACUCGGCACAGAUGGGUGGUCAUGUUGCCAACUAUGCAGCAGAAAGGCGAUGGUUCGUUAGCGUCGUAUUAGCGCCUUUAGCAGUAUAGAUGAAGAAUACAUAGAUUUAAAGGAAAAACUCUACCCCUGAUACCAAGGACAUGGAAACUCAGACGCACUCUUUUAAGUAGAUUUCUGUAUUUUUGCCUGCAUCCUCAAUUAACUCCAGCCUACUAAUUUUUAGCAGAAGAAACAGUUGUUUUCUCCUUCAUCUUAAAGUUGUGUUUCCAAGUAGGAGAAGAAUCCAAGAACGAAACCAGUUUUGAGUAAUAGUGUCAUUCAGCAGCUCCCUGAGCAUCAGGAUUGAAAGGACACAUCAGAUGCCACAGCAGAAGCCAGAAUUUUGUUUCUCUUCUGAAGGACAAAGGGCUGAAUCAACCAUCGCUACUGGUCCUGCAAUCCCAAGGAGCCUGUAGUUUUUCAAACCUAAGACUGAGAGGCUUUCAAGCAGCGGCAGUGUCUUCACACACACUUAAAAUAAA
rnacentral:lncRNA from 1 species